rnacentral:tRNA from 1 species
GCUCAGCUGGGAGAGCACCUGCUUUGCAAGCAGGGGUCGUCGGUUCGAUCCCGUCAUCCUCCACCAUUACCUUUUG